UUGACCAACAAAUAAAGCAGAAGACCUGCUCCACCUGCUGAUCUACUGGUUGGAAGAGAUUGUGGAAAAGCAUCACUAUAGGACAACAACUCUUGACCAAUGAGGAGAGAGAAGACACAGAGGACUGAGGAGAUGCAGAAAAUCCUGCUGGAAAUCAAUAAAAAUGUUUCCUGAUGAAACAGGGGGACGGCUGAGGACGGGACACAACAUAAAGAGACAGAGAUCAUGUGAAAUUCAAGGAUGGCCUUUCAACCCUGGAUUUCAUUUAUGCUUUGGAGCUUCAUGCUUCUGUGUUCAGGCCCUUUGUGUGCUGAAAAGCUGACAUCAGAAAUGUGAGAGGAAAUCUUUGAAGUUCAGCUCAGCGAAAAGGGCAGCACCAGACGACAAGAAGAAACCAGACUGCUAGGAUUCUCCUUGAGACAGACCAAACCUCGCUUUCCUGUUCAAACUCUGACAAGAUACCAAAGCCCAAGACAUACGAUCAGUUUCAAAGAAGACAUGAACUUUGAAUUACAAAACUUUUUGGACUUUAUUAAGUUCAAAUACAGAAUCACAAAACAUAAAUGUGGAUGUUGGCCUGUGAAGGCAGAUGUUAACUUGUGAAACCUGCUCUGUCAAAGUUCUGACUCUGUUGGGUUGUGGUUGCUUGACAACCUUUAAAUUUUAGACUCAUUUAUUUCCAAGUCCACCAUGUUUUCUAGUCUUGUGUAGUUUUCCACAUAGGAUUCCCAAGUUAGUGGAUGCACUAGGCCACUGUCUCUGGAGGUCCUCAAACUGUCCCUAAAGACGGUCAUGGCCACAUUGACUGCUGAUUGACUCGGUCAUAAACUGUCCCAAUUCCUCCUGGGAGUCUGGGAACCUACAGUCUGUUCUGCCAAACCCAGGAGUAAAAUAUGCAUCAAAACAGGACACAUAGUUUAGUUAUAUAUUUAUAUUUCUUCAUUCAACUGUCACUACCAACUGCUAUGACUAUUGUUGAAAACUGUUGUAAUGUUUAAUUGUAUUUACAUAUAAAUAUUAGAA